AUUUGCCCAAGGAGACUAAAUCGAGAACCAUAUAUAAAUAAGUAACCUAAAAUUAGCAAGUGGCAGGAGACCGAGAUUCUUGUCACUUACCCAAGAAUUCUUGUGUUUGAACCGUACUCAUCACCAUCUGUGCUAUUUCAGUAGGUUCUGGUUGGAAAAACGUUACAGAGGCCACAACCCUCAUCCACAUACUCAAUUCAUUAGGCCUUGCUAGUUUUGCACACACCAAAAAUAUUAAAAAUAUGUCUGUUUGUUUAAGUCAAAGUCAUCAGAAAUGACAAUCUGCGUUGUGUACGAUUCAGCUCUGGUUGCUGAUGGAGUCUUUUGGGCAGUAUUAAUGGUGGGAGAGAAGACCUGACAUACCAGAGGCCUCUGUACCCUGCGAUCAUGACUGGCAGGAGGCAGCCAUGUGAUCCACAUUCCAAUUUAAAUAUGUUUCUUUCCCUACUGCCAACUGUUGUAAUUGUGAAUGCUUCCUACGCUCUACCCAUCCCCCUUUAUUUUACUA
rnacentral:lncRNA from 1 species